UAAGGAAUAUUGGUCAAUGGACGCAAGUCUGAACCAGCCAUGCCGCGUGGAGGAUGAAGGUCCUCUGGAUUGUAAACUUCUUUUAUCUGGGACGAAACACUUCUUUUCUAAGAGGCCUGACGGUACCAGAUGAAUAAGCACCGGCUAACUCCGUGCCAGCAGCCGCGGUAAUACGGAGGGUGCAAGCGUUAUCCGGAUUCACUGGGUUUAAAGGGUGCGUAGGUGGGUAUGUAAGUCAGUGGUGAAAUCCCCGAGCUUAACUUGGGAACUGCCAUUGAUACUAUAUAUCUUGAAUACCGUAGAGGUAAGCGGGAUAUGUCAUGUAGCGGUGAAAUGCUUAGAUAUGACAUGGAACACCAAUUGCGAAGGCAGCUUACUAUGCGGUGAUUGACACUGAGGCACGAAAGCGUGGGUAGCAAACA
rnacentral:rRNA from 1 species